rnacentral:rRNA from 1 species
ACAGGAAGCAGCCUGCUGCUUCGCUGACGAGUGGCGGACGGGUGAGUAAUGUCUGGGAAACUGCCUGAUGGAGGGGGAUAACUACUGGAAACGGUAGCUAAUACCGCAUAACGUCGCAAGACCAAAGAGGGGGACCUUCGGGCCUCUUACCAUCGGAUGUGCCCAGAUGGGAUUAGCUAGUAGGUGGGGUAACGGCUCACCUAGGCGACGAUCCCUAGCUGGUCUGAGAGGAUGACCAGCCACACUGGAACUGAGACACGGUCCAGACUCCUACGGGAGGCAGCAGUGGGGAAUAUUGCACAAUGGGCGCAAGCCUGAUGCAGCCAUGCCGCGUGUAUGAAGAAGGCCUUCGGGUUGUAAAGUACUUUCAGCGGGGAGGAAGGCGAUAAGGUUAAUAACCUUGUCGAUUGACGUUACCCGCAGAAGAAGCACCGGCUAACUCCGUGCCAGCAGCCGCGGUAAUACGGAGGGUGCAAGCGUUAAUCGGAAUUACUGGGCGUAAAGCGCACGCAGGCGGUCUGUCAAGUCGGAUGUGAAAUCCCCGGGCUCAACCUGGGAACUGCAUUCGAAACUGGCAGGCUAGAGUCUUGUAGAGGGGGGUAGAAUUCCAGGUGUAGCGGUGAAAUGCGUAGAGAUCUGGAGGAAUACCG